rnacentral:lncRNA from 1 species
UGUUCUUAUUUUUGCAUCUUUUUUGUUUUUCACUUUCUUUCCAUUAAACAGAGAAACAAAACGUGAAGGUUGGAAUGAACAUCACCAGUCGUAGUUGCAUUUCCAGCUUAGAUUUUUGCUCUUUGUUUUUUAAGUUGUCCAUGUUGCAGGCAUAUGAAAGGAGAGGAUCUGAACUCCCUGCAGCCCAAGGAGCUGAUCGCAAUCGAGGAGGCGCUCCACAACGGCCAGACCAACCUGCGGGACAAGAUGGUGAUUAGUGGCUCUGAACUGAAGCUUGAUGUUAGCAUGGGCAUGCAGGGCUUGCAAGUGCCUAUCAUGUUUCUGAAAGUUUUUUUUUUCUUUUGUUUCUGAUGUCACCUUUGUUUCCAUGUUGUUUGCAGAUGGACCA